CAUAGUAGAAGUUCUCGGCGUCAACUUUGGCCUGGAUCGCCUCUUGCUCAGCUGUCGUGUUCCUGCGCCAAUUGUCCAUGCAGUGCCCUGUCCCAAGUAUCCUCAAGGAAGAAGUACGUACAUUUACAUUUGAAAGAAGUACAUAAUGCUUCAGCCUUCUCGAUCUCUACAGCAGAGGCUCUCGGUAGAUGCACUUGACAUCGUCCCCAAGAAGAGAGUAAAAUGGGGUCUGC